rnacentral:rRNA from 1 species
AUUGAACGCUGGCGGCAGGCCUAACACAUGCAAGUCGAACGGUAGCACAGAGAGCUUGCUCUCGGGUGACGAGUGGCGGACGGGUGAGUAAUGUCUGGGAAACUGCCUGAUGGAGGGGGUAUAACUACUGGAAACGGUAGCUAAUACCGCAUAAUGUCGCAAGACCAAAGAGGGGGUACCUUCGGGUCCGUCUUGCCAUCAGAUGUGCCCGAGAUGGG